AAAGAAAAAACAAAAUAGAAACGCCCACAUCCAUCACUCGUUCGCUCGGACGCUCGGCAUAUCUCCCUGAAAGCCCAACGCAUCUCUCUCUCUUAGCCUUCUUCUACCAAAUACCAAUCGUGCUCCGUAAGCGCCAGCGGCGGCUCCUUCCGCAACCUCCUCCCCUGCGCAGGCCUGUGCUCCUCCCCGCAGCUCCCUGUGGUAGGUCCGUGUGCUCCGGAAUGGGGUGCCCCCGGCUGCGAGAUCGAAGCGCAGGCGCUAGAUCCGGGUGUGGCCAGCUCGAAUCGAGCGUGGGCGCCGGUGGUGGCGAGAUCCCAGCCCGGGUGGCGGCGACAACAAGAUCCCGACACAUGGGCGAUGACGAUGGCAGGAUCUAGGUGUGUGCCACAUAUCCCAACCAUCUCAAGUCCCCUGGGUCAUGGUGCUCCGUGUGCUCAUGGGUAACCCUAACGAUGCCUAUGAUGGCCCUAACCCUAGUUGCAUGUUUUGUUGAAGUAGAGUAGAUGAUGGCCCUAACCCUAGUUGCAUGUUUUGUUGAAGUAGAGUAGGAUGGGGAUUUACGGGAUCUGAGUAGAGUAGGAUGGGGAUUUAUGGCUGUCUUGCUCUAGAUCAAGGAGAUUAAAAUUGAUUCCACAGGGCAAGAUGAGGUCGAGCAGGACGGAAUUUAUUAUGAGAUUAAGACCUACAAAUCGCAAGCGUCAUAUUUACUCCCUACUCUCGGCAACAUUGUUUUGUUGCCGCUAGUAACUUGGUGCUCAGGAUUUUUUUAAUUUUGAUUUCCAGUUUUGUGAUUUGCUCCUUCCUUGUACGCAGGAUGCUGGCAUCAAAUUUGACAACAAUUUUGGUGAAGAUGUUAAAUAUCUUGUGAGCCUCUUCUCCCUGUAGACUUAUUUAACACUUCUAUGGAUCUAGGUAGCAAUAUGUGGUAUUGAUCUGAUUUGGGGCGUAAGUCAUACUGCCAGGCUCGUCACUUUCUUCCUGUGUCUUCUCAAGCUGCUAGUAUACUGCUGGCAUGUAUCUGUUCGGUUAUCAUUGACAAACAAUGAAACAAGGUGGUAGUAUUAUCUGUAGGGCUGAGCUGAUAGAAAGAAAAUAUUAGUUUUGCUCUUGGACAGUAGAACAUCGGUUCUUAUGAACUUAAGUCUGUUCCUUUGCCAACCGAGGCUUGGGAUCAGUGGCAAAAGUAGCGAUGUUACUUCAGGUUGAUGAAAUGUAUAUAUAAAAUAUGUAAGUAAGUGAUACCUUUUUAGUGAUGUUACUAAAGAUUGACAAAUAAACAAAGGUAUAUACAUGUUCAUAGAAACUGGAUCACGCCUAACUAUGUACCUCUUUAUUUCAUCAAACUAGCAUUUUUAGUUGCCUCGGUUGUAUUUGUGGUGUUGUCCAGCUUGAAUUGUUACAUAGGUUUAGAAUUAGAUUGUGCAUACAAAGAUUUGUACCAUUGUCCAACUUGCAUUCUAUGCUAGUUUUGUAUGCCGGAAUUAUUUCAAGCACAAAAGGCCUAGGAUAGAGUUGCAUUUGUUAGUACAGAGCUUGCAAUCCACUCUGAUUGUUUCCUGAUAAAUAAAUAGCAUUUGUUUUUAGAAUCUUUGCUCAGAACUAACAUAUUUUAUAUUCAUAUUGAUUUUCAGGUAGUUCCUGGAGAUGCUUGGUAGCAUAUCUUAUGGAAAACAAGCCAAUUGAAUUCUUAGAGAUGAAAUCUAGUUUGUAUGUUUGUUUAUUGUAGACUCCCUAGAGCUGAAAUCUUAGUUUUAUGUACUUGUUAGUUUGACUGUGAAUUGAUUAUCCUCAAACUGUAUGUGACAAUAGUGGACAUGCCAAGAAAUAAAAGAAUCAAUGUUUGUUUGUAUGAUUGGUGUAUUCUGAGA
rnacentral:lncRNA from 1 species